rnacentral:rRNA from 1 species
GAUGAACGCUAGCGGCAGGCUUAAUACAUGCAAGUCGAGGGGUAGCGAGAUUGUAGCAAUACAAUUGUUGACGACCGGCAAACGGGUGCGGAACACGUACACAACCUUCCUACAAGUGGGGAAUAGCCCAGAGAAAUUUGGAUUAAUACCCCGUAACAUAGCGAUGUGGCAUCACAUUGCUAUUAUAGCUUCGGCGCUUGUUGAUGGGUGUGCGGCUGAUUAGAUAGUUGGCGGGGUAACGGCCCACCAAGUCUACGAUCAGUAGCUGAUGUGAGAGCAUGAUCAGCCACACGGGCACUGAGAAACGGGCCCGACUCCUACGGGAGGCAGCAGUAAGGAAUAUUGGACAAUGGACGCAAGUCUGAUCCAGCCAUGCCGCGUGAAGGAUUAAGGUCCUCUGGAUUGUAAACUUCUUUUAUAAGGGACGAAAAAAGGUCUUUCUAGAUCGUCUGACGGUACCUUAUGAAUAAGCACCGGCUAACUCCGUGCCAGCAGCCGCAGUAAAAC